AUUUGACUCCAUCCCAAAAUUCUUGUCUUAGAUUUGUCUAGAUACGGAUGUAUCUAAUACUAAAACGUGACUUGAUACAUCCAUAUUUAGACAAAUCUAAGACAAGAAUUCUGGGACGGAGGGAGUAUUAU
rfam:Triticum aestivum genome assembly, contig: Triticum_aestivum_CS42_TGACv1_scaffold_159573_2DL